ACUUCCAUAUUCAGCACAGUUCAAUACACAAACCAUCAACAUUACCUUUAUUCAACAUGCUGUCAUUGGACUAUUAUGUACUGUCUCUACUGUUUGUCUCUACUCUAACAGGAGUCAGCUGUGAAAAACUGACUCCAGUCAAGACUGAAGAGUUCAGUUCAGAAGGCAGCACUGUUACUCUGUCCUACAACUACUCCACAAAAGCAGCUAGUAAUCAUGAGUUUUACUGGUAUCGACAAUAUCCAGGAAAACCACCAGAGUUCCUCAUCUCUCACUUGGGAACUCAAAAUACAACAAAGUCUGGACUGUCAGUUACAGUGAGUGGUGAUAAAACCAGAAUGGAUCUGCAGAUCUCCUCUGCUGCAGUGACUGACUCUGCUCUGUACUACUGUGCUGUGAAGCCCACAGUGACAGCAAACCCACAGUCUCUGUACAAAAACACAAGCUGACACACUGACAAGCUGCUGGAAG